ensembl:lncRNA
CAGUUUUCUUUCUCUUUUGUAGGCUAUUCAGUGCUGUUAGUCUGGGUGUAUUCCAGCACAGCGUCUGUCUGUCUGUCUGUCUGUCUAUCUGGCCCCAUUUUCUCUUGUGUCUGAGGUGCUUACAGGGCUGUAGCUUACUGAUCAGGAGGGACUGCUUGCCACACAUAACAGUAAAGAAAAACUCGGCACGCUCUCUCUCUGACAUCGCCAGAGCCUCCCAACGAACGUCAGCGGAAUGUGUGUGUGAGUGUGCAGCUUGGAGCAGUCAUAACAACCUCGCACGAAGACGGAAGAAGCAUCCUCUUCAAAGGGCAGUGCCUAGAGAGAGAGAGGGAAACAAUUGUGCCUCCUCAAAGUGUACAGGAAGGGAAGCGGAGAUCUUUAUCCACCGGUUGUUGAGUCUUCAACGGGUAAGUCCAGUUGAAUGUCACCACGAGCAAUUUAUCACCUUUUUUGGGCUCUGUAUUGUCUGUCUGCAUUCUAACCAUAGCGCACAUAAGUUGUCCAGCUGAAGGCCACAGGUAUGUUGCUGGUGGCAAGAAUGCUGUUGCACAACAGAUGGGUGUUGUUGGUCGGCAUGGAACAGAUGUUGGCUUGACGAGUGUCACGUCCUCUCUUUGUUUUUGCUUCACAGUUGGUUUAGUAAUGUUGCAUUAUUAAAACCCCUGGCUGUGGCUGAAAACGAGCUUCGGUGCGGCUUGCGGUGUGCGGCUGACGACAAGGUUUGGGGAUUGAAAUGCUAUCCACCAAUGUCUCCACAUGAAUAAGUUAUUCCCCUUGUACUGUUGUGUCCCUGGUCCGCUGCUGCAGGCCUUCUAAUUGCCUCCCACAUGGUCGGGAAAGAAAUACACACAUACAGACACUCAUAGGGUAUUGACAACAGAGAGGCACAUAUACACACAUUUUUUUCUGCACACCAUAGUGGACAUUACAGUGAAAAACCCACGACCUGGACAUAUAUAGUCGAUAACUAGCAUGAUUAUUUAAUUGAGUGGUGCUUUGAGAAACUCCCUUGUUUGUGGGUAACAUUUAAAUACGCAAAUAGUGAAAAGACACAGUGAUCUGAGGUUACAAACCCAAUGUGAACAGUUACUCUUAUAUGAUAUCUACUAAACAAGACCAGUAAACAUUGAAACAUGCUUGAGUCAUUGCUUGCUCUUGUCAUCCUAACUAACCCACAGCUUCCAUUAACCAAUCUGUUUGCACCACACAGUGUUGCACAGUGCUCAUUUGGGUUGGGACACAGUAUUCCCAGGUCAGCCUAUUCCAAUGUGAACGCAUUGUGCCUUUGAGUGUAACGAAGGGGGUUGAUCAUGCUGUAAUUAGUAAACAUCUGCUGUGACUCAGGCCCAUUGUGUGUCUGUCGACCUAAGAUUAAUCCACAUGCUUUCCUCUGUCAUUAGCUAGACCAAGCUGUGACCACAGGACAAAUACAGUAACAAGGAAAGCGACAGCUCAGAGCAGGUUUAAUGGAACCAUUAGUGGUCAGAGUUUCCCACAGGUCUGGAAUAGACCUUUCACAGAUUUAACUCUCCUCUCCAUUUACCCACAUGAGAAUAAAGCACUUUUUAGUGUGUCUAAAGAUGGCA